AACGAACGCUGGCGGCAGGCCUAACACAUGCAAGUCGAGCGAGGACUUCGGUCCUAGCGGCGGACGGGUGAGUAACGCGUGGGAACGUGCCCUUUGCUUCGGAAUAGCCCUGGGAAACUGGGAGUAAUACCGGAUGAGCCCUUUGGGGGAAAGAUUUAUCGGCGAAGGAUCGGCCCGCGUUGGAUUAGGUAGUUGGUGGGGUAAUGGCCUACCAAGCCGACGAUCCAUAGCUGGUUUGAGAGGAUGAUCAGCCACACUGGGACUGAGACACGGCCCAGACUCCUACGGGGGGCAGCAGUGGGGAAUCUUAGACAAUGGGGGAAACCCUGAUCUAGCCAUGCCGCGUGAGCGAUGAAGGCCUUAGGGUUGUAAAGCUCUUUCAGCUGGGAAGAUAAUGACGGUACCAGCAGAAGAAGCCCCGGCUAACUCCGUG
rnacentral:rRNA from 1 species